rnacentral:rRNA from 1 species
CGGCUCAGUAACACGUGGAACAAUCUGACUUAAAGGAGGUGCAUAACCUCGGGAAACUGAGGACAAAAACACCAUAGGAGGCAAGCACUGGGAUGUCUGCCUCUCAAAAUGAGAAGGCCUGUAUUCGGCCAAUUGCCUUAAGAGGAGUCUGCGUCGGAUUAGCCUGACGGUAGGGUAACGGCCUACCGUAGCGACGAUCCGUACCGGCAUUGGGAGAUGGAGCCGGGAGAUGGACACUGAGACAAAGGUCCAGGUUCUACGGAGCGCAGCAGUCGCGAAACCUUCGCAAUGCGCGCAAGCGUGACGAGGGGACCCCAAGUGCCCACGUACAACGUGGGCUUUUACGGAGUAUAGGAAGCUCCGGGAAUAAGGGCUGGGUAAGACUGGUGCCAGCCUCCGCGGUAACACCAGCAGCUCAAGUGGUGAUCACGUUUACUGGGUUUAAGGCGUGCGUAGUCGGUUCGGCAAGUUUUCUGUGAAAUCCUGCGGCUUAACCGCGGGGAUUGCAGAAAAUACUACCGGGCUAGAGGCCGGGGCAGGUGUGGGGUAUUCUGGGGGUAGCGGUGAAAUGCUAUAAUCCCUAGAGGACCACCAGUAGCGAAGGCGCCACACUGGAACGGGCCUGACGAUGAGGUACGAGAGCUAGGGGAGCAAACAGGAUUAGAUACCCUGGUAGUCCUAGCCGUAAACGAUGUGGGUUUAGUGUCCCCUGAACCUCGUGUUCGGGGGGUGCUGAAGGGAAACCGUUAAACCCACCACCUGGGGAGUACGGUCGCAAGGCUGAAACUUAAAGGAAUUGGCGGGGGAACACCACAAGGGGUGGAUGCUGCGGUUCAAUUGGAUACAACGCCGGGAAACUUACCAGGUGCGACGGCAGGAUGAAGGCCAGACUGAAGGUCUUGCCGAACGAGCCGAGAGGUAGUGCAUGGCCGUCGUCAGCUCGUACCGUGGAGGCGUACGGGUUAAGUCCGUUAACGAGCGAGACCC